rnacentral:rRNA from 1 species
AUUGAACGCUGGCGGCAGGCUUAACACAUGCAAGUCGAGCGGGGUGAUGGUGCUUGCACUAUCACUUAGCGGCGGACGGGUGAGUAAUGCUUAGGAAUCUGCCUAUUAGUGGGGGACAACAUCUCGAAAGGGAUGCUAAUACCGCAUACGUCCUACGGGAGAAAGCAGGGGAUCACUUGUGACCUUGCGCUAAUAGAUGAGCCUAAGUCGGAUUAGCUAGUUGGUGGGGUAAAGGCCUACCAAGGCGACGAUCUGUAGCGGGUUUGAGAGGAUGAUCCGUCACACUGGGACUGAGACACGGCCCAGACUCCUACGGGAGGCAGCAGUGGGGAACAUUGGACAAUGGGGGGAACCCUGAUCCAGCCAUGCCGCGUGUGUGAAGAAGGCCUUAUGGUUGUAAAGCACUUUAAGCGAGGAGGAGGCUCUUUUGGUUAAUACCCAAGAUGAGUGGACGUUACUCGCAGAAUAAGCACCGGCUAACUCUGUGCCAGCCGCCGCGGUAA